rnacentral:rRNA from 1 species
GACGAACGCUGGCGGCGUGCUUAACACAUGCAAGUCGAACGAAAAGGCCCUGCUUUUGUGGUGGGCUCGAUUGGCGAACAGGUGAGUAACACGUGAGGAACCUCCCCUUGACUUUGGGAUAACUUCAGGGAACUGGGGCUAAUACCGGAUAGGAGCUCCUGCUGCAUGGUGGGGGUUGGAAAGUUUCGGCGGUUGGUGAUGGACUCGCGGGUUAUCGGCUUGUUUGUGGGGUAGUGGGUUACCAAGGCUUUGACGGGUAGGCGGCCUGAGAGGGUGACCGGCCACAAUGGGACUGAGGUACGGCCCAGAAUGCAACGGGCGGCAGCAGUCGGAAGUCUUACAGAACGGGCCGACGUGAGAUGAAGCAGCGUCGGGUGCGUGAUGCCGGCUUGUGGGUUGAAAACAGGUUUCGCAUGUGCCGAAGCGUGCGUGACGGUAAUGGGUCAAGAAGCAACGGCUAACUACGUG